rnacentral:rRNA from 1 species
CAGCCGCCGCGGGAAUACGAAGGGGGCUAGCGUUGUUCGGAAUUACUGGGCGUAAAGCGCACGUAGGCGGACAUUUAAGUCAGGGGUGAAAUCCCGGGGCUCAACCCCGGAACUGCCUUUGAUACUGGGUGUCUAGAGUAUGGAAGAGGUGAGUGGAAUUCCGAGUGUAGAGGUGAAAUUCGUAGAUAUUCGGAGGAACACCAGUGGGGAAGGCGGCUCACUGGUCCAUUACUGACGCUGAGGUGCGAAAGCGUGGGGAGCAAACAGGAUUAGAUACCCGCGUAGUCCCUGUCUCUUAUAC